AAACGCUGGCGGCAUGGCUAAGACAUGCAAGUCGUACGGACCGUUUUUUGCUUGCAUUAGACGGUUAGUGGCGGACGGGAGAGUAAUGCAUAGGUGACGUACCCCGGACACCGGAAUAACAGCGGGAGCAAUCCCUUUAGCGAAAGUGCUGCUAAUACCGGAUGAUGUCGUCGGGCCGCAUGGCCUGACGAUCAAAGGUGGGGACCUUCGGGCCUGCUGGUCUGGGAUCGGCCUAUGUCCUAUCAGCUUGUUGGUGAGGUAACGGCUCACCAAGGCGUCGACGGGUAGCGGGCGUGAGAGCGUGGCCCGCCUCAUCGGGACUGGGACACUGCCCGGACACCUACGGGUGGCUGCAGUAACGAAUAUUGGUCAAUGGGCGAAAGCCUGAACCAGCAAUGCCGCGUGCAGGAGGAAGCCCUUCGGGGUGUAAACUGCUGUCAGGGUUCAGCAAGCAAUGGAGGUUAAUAGCCUUCCGCGUUGAGCAUACCCAAAGGAAGCCUCGGCUAACUCUGUGCCAGCAGCCGCGGUAACACAGAGGAGGCAAGCGUUGUUCGGAUUCAUUGGGCUUAAAGAGCGCGUAGGCGGCUCGGCAAGCGUCCUGUGAAAGCCCUCGGCUCAACCGAGGAAUUGCAGGGCGAACUGCUUGGCUUGAGGAUGGUAGAGGUGCCUGGAACUCUAGGUGGAGCGGUGAAAUGCGUAGAUAUCUAGAGGAACGCCAGAUGCGAAAGCGAGGCACUGGGCCAUUUCUGACGCUGAGGCGCGAAAGCGUGGGGAGCAAACAGGAUUAGAUACCCUGGUAGUCCACGCCGUAAACGAUGCACACUAGAUCUGGGAGCCUCUGACGGCGCCCGGGUCCAAGCGAAAGCGUUAAGUGUGCCGCCUGGGGACUACGGCCGCAAGGCUAAAACUCAGAGGAAUUGACGGGUGCUCACACAAGCGGUGGAGCAUGUGGCUUAAUUCGAAUCAACGCGAAGAACCUUACCCAGGUUUGAAAUGCUUGGAUGCCCUCCGGGGAUAACUCGGUUGGCUGCCUUCGGGUGAAACUUGCACCGGUGUUGCGUGGCUGUCGUCAGCUCGUGCCGUGAAGUGUCGGGUUAAGUCCCUUAACGAGCGAAACCCUUAUCGUUAGUUGCCAGCGGGUCAUGCCGGGGACUCUAGCGAGACUGCCGGCGUUAAGCCGGAGGAAGGUGGGGAUGACGUCAAGUCAUCAUGGCCUCUAUGCCUGGGGAUGCACACGUGCUACAAUGGUAGGUACAGAUCGAUGCGAUACCGCGAGGUGGAGCAAAUCGCAAAAAACCUGCCCCAGUUCGGAUUGGAGUCUGUAACUCGACUCCAUGAAGUUGGAAUCGCUAGUAAUCGCGUAUCAGCUACGACGCGGUGAAUGUGUUCCUGAGCAUUGUACACACCGCCCGUCAAGUCAUGGAAGCUGGUAGCACCCGAAGUCCGUUUAGCCAACUAGCAAUAGAGGCGACGGCCGACGGUGAGACUGGUGACUGGGACUAAGUCGUAACAAGGAA
rnacentral:rRNA from 1 species